ensembl:lncRNA
CUCCUUCCCUCCCUUGCCGCCUUCCGCCCCUCGCCUCACGUCAUUCCGAGCUUUUCCCUUAUUUGCAUAGAAGCCGAGAAGAACACCACGGGAGGGGGGGUUUGCAAACUGCAGACGGGCCCCGUGACCAGCUUGGGAGGACGUGGCGGCGGCGGCGGCGUGGGGGGAGGCGGCGGGAAGCGGGGCGGAGGAGAGAAACUAGCGAGCGUGGGGAAAUGACAGGCAAGCGCCAGCUCUCAGGUUCCGCCACGGGUAGGGUAGCAGGAGAGAAGGAGAGAGCCCAAAGCGUGUCGGGGAGCUGGGCGGCGGGCGCGCGUGCCUCCGGCUUUCUUGGCGGGCAGCGCCGGGCGCGUGUUUGUGAGGAGGGGCGGCCGGCGGAAGGACGGGAGAGCCGGUGGACGGUGAAGGGCGAGGGAAGGCGGAAUGGGGCAAGGGCGCCUAACAGCGCUGCUUGGGAUUGGAAGGAAACGCCAAUUGACUGGUGAGGAGACGCAGCCAGAGAGUCCAUGCUGGCUUCCUCUCCUUCCCGCCCCUACCCCUUCGUUCAGCAGAGGCUGCGAAAGGGUAAAGGACCGGGAACUCUCCCAAGCUGGAAGCUCUUUAGAAUCCCCUGAGUUCCUGAGGGGAAACGGAGAAGUUCAUCAUCAUCAUCAUCUUAAAACUGCAGAGCUGGAAGGGACCCUGUGGAUCAUCGAGUCCAACCUCUGUCAAGGAGACACAGAGGGGAAUCGAACUCCCAACCCCUGGCUCCAAUGGGCUGUUCAGCAGUUGUGUACAUGUGGAGGUAUGGAUGACUUGGCUAAUCAGGUCUGAGAGCUCAAGUGAUGGAAAGGAUGAGGUCCCCAUUAGGAGGCUCAAAACAAAAUGAAGAGCUUGCAAAAUCAACCAAUUGAUAAUUUCUUUUUUUCUUAAAGGAAACCAUUUUGUGAGGUAAGUUUACUGUGCGAUUAACAGACACUGACUACAUUUUUCCAUAGUAUGAACUAUGAGCUGGAUACAGGUUAUUUGUGAAAUGGCUCUAAAAUUUAGUGCAAAAUUUAGAUAUCAAGAUAAACACUGUGUACAAAAUAAUCUGAUGGAGAUGUGAUCCAUCCUUCUUUGCUCAUGAUGUGUUGAUGACUUGCAUAUAUGAUUCGGCCAUCACAUAUUAAUAACAACAGAUUAUCCUUUCACAUCUCAGAAUUUCUAUUCAACUACUAACAUUUAUACAGGAGAACACUUACAUGUUUAGCUGAGAAUCAUAAAGUGACAGGACAUCAGAUUUUUUUUUCUGAAUGAUAGGCUGAAUAAGAAACAGAAUUACUGUUGAGAAAUGCUUUUCCAUGCCAAAACAGAGGGAAAUUAUGUUUUAAACAGUGUGCUUUUCUUGACUUUAACUCACUUGGAAUAGAUGUACUGUACUGAAUUUCAGUUUUCCUCUUCAUAUAUAUUCCAUGUACUUUUCAUUCAGUCUUAUGCUUUUUUUCCCCUCUGAGUUAUUUCUUCCAUUCCUUUAAUAGUUCUGUCAGUACCAGAUUAGUACUAGGAAAUUGUUAUCCCUAGAGAAUGACAGAAGCAACAGCAGGUGUUGUUGAGCUUUCAGAGGUCAAAUGAGCAUACUUGGCAGCUGCAAAAUAUUUGAGUGAUGACAGCAAUAGCAACUAAUAUGGUCUUUGAUGCACGUGUUGCUACAAGAAAGUAUGCUCAUUCCCCUCAAAAAUGUAUCUAAACUGGAUGAUUUCUUGUACCCAAAAUUAUCUAAGAUGUGUUGAAUGGAUCUCUUAGGCACGGAAAUGUAUAAGUACAUCUAUAUGUGGAAAAACAUGCCUUUCCUGAAAGAAGACUGAAAUGUGAUCUUUAUUCAAAAUGGAAAGUCAUUCUCAACUUAGUGUUAGAGCCGCUUUUCUGCCUUUGGUGUAAUAGCAUGAUAUAUUUGGAGCUCUUUGAUGGACAAAAAUAUCUGACACAGAUUUUUGUGUGCGUUUAGUCUUUGGACAAAUCGUCCUUUGUUAAAAAAAUUUUAAAAAGGUAAUUAAUUAUCACAAAAUAGCAAAUAGCUCCCAGCUUGACCUCAAAUUAUAUAGCACUUCCAUUCUCAAAGUGAAAUGGUAGUUAUGAAAUAUUAAUUGGCUGUAAAACAUGAAUUGGCAAACUGAAUUAUCAAAUAUGCAGGGAAGCAUUUUAACAGUCUGUAGCACUAAUGCCUACUAUCUUUAUCGUAUUAGAUAUCCGUGUUCAGCCUUGCCCUGCAAAAUCGAAUUAUGUACUUCACUCCAAGAUAAGCGAGAAGUCCCUUUAACUUCCCAGGAGUCUCUCAUGAGCUCAGUGUUAAAUACCACCAUGAAUCUUUAAUGGACCAAAGUUCUCUGAAUAGGUUGCAUGGGCAGAUUUAUUCUUGUACACCAAAUAUUGUAUGUAUGAAUGUAUUUGUCAAAGAUUGAAAAGGGGAGGGUUGUGUUUUGUUUUUUGGGUUCAUGAUGAUGAUGAUGAUGAUGACUUCUGUUCUCAAAGCAUCCAGCCAGCUUGUCUUGUGGUCAUGCUAAGAGGGGGAAUUCUGGGUGGUAUAGUCUGAAGAACAUUUCUGGUAGAAAGGAGUAAGCAAAUCAGUUUAUUUCCAAAUUAGGUCAGCUUUUCAUGUGUUCAAACAGAAGUCUGUUCUGUUCUCUUUCCUGUUUUUUUUUAAAACUAAAUUGUCUGCACUUACCCCACAAAAUAAUUUUUGACAUGCAAUGCUCCCUCUAAUUUGUGCUUCUAUGCAUUGUACUAUGCAUUGUACUCUGAUUUCUGUAUUAUUGCAUGCUUUUUCCAGAGCCAAGAACUUCACUAAAGACUCAGUCCAUGGGAUAACUGUAUUCUGACGCACUUACUAUUCAAUUCACUAUACAGUAUACAUUCAAUUCACUUACUAUUCAAUUCCCUCUUUCCCUCAUUUUUCUCUAUUUUAUCUUCUUUCUGGUUUGUAUUUGUUAUUUGAAGUUUUAUGUAAUCUUUCUGUUAUUUUAUUACAUAUUUAUGUUAUACUGGAAGCUGCCUAGAGUGGUCGUAUAAGACCAGAUGGGCGGGAUAUAAAUCAAAUAAAUAAUAAAUACAUUAGGUUGAUUAUCUUAAA